GAUAGAAGUUGGCUAUGUUGUUCCAUAAGCAUAUUUUCAACUCAGCACAAUGAAGACCAUUGUCCUAGAUGGCCUGCUGGGGAAAUGGAUUAUGUAAUUAUGAAGAGCUGAGAUUUAACACUUAUGCCAGUAUCUGCUGGCCAGGCUGGAGGGCAGUGGCAAUCAUAGCUCACUGUAGCCUUGAACUCCUGGGCUUAGGUGUUCUCCUGACUCAGUCUUCCAAGUAGCUGGAACUACAGGUGUGUGCCACCAUGCCUGGCUAAUUUUUUAAAUCUUUUGCAGAGAUAGGGUCUUGCUAUGUUGCCCAGACUGGUCUCCAACUCUUGGACUCAGACGAGGUUUUGCCAUGUUGCCCAAGCUGAUCUCGAACUUCUUGGCUCAAGUGAUCUGCCUGCCUUCCAAAGUGCUGGGAUUACAGGCAUGAGCCACCAAGCGCAGCCAUGAUUUAUUAGAUCACUUCUAAAAGCCCUCUCUCCAUCUCCAAGCCAGCAAGUGCUUCUUUGCACCCCAGCUCUAAAACAAAGCCCUUGGGGACACAAUCAAAGACAGUAGUUGCCAAGAGGAAUAGGGAGCAUGGAAAGAAGGGUAAAAUUAAACUGCGGGACAUAGCGCAGAAGACUUGUCACAAUUUAGGACCAACCUACCAAGACUUCUUGAUCUCUUUCCACUUCUUGCCCCUCACUGUGUUUGAUUUCUGCCUUCCAGUCUGAACUUCUCACUAUAUUCCAGAAAAGGCCUGUUAAAGAGAUCUGGUAGUCAAAAGCAACCUCUUUUUUGCUUGUGCUCUCUGUUAUACAUAAGAAACCAGUCCUGCUGCAGCUCCAUAUUUGCAUUACUAAUUUAAUCAGUUAGCGGGACACAUGCUCUUUAUAACCCAAAAAAUUGAAGCAUGAAAUUUGGGAGUCAUACCCAUCACCCAAAUGUGGCAUAACAAUGUUCUUCUUCCCCGCAAAGCAGUGUCCUUCCCCAAAGAAAUUCUGGGGAUUGGCAUUUUCUUCAUCCACUCCUUUCAUUAUUUCCUUUACCUAUUUCUCUGAGUCUAUUAGCAUCCUUGGAGGGGGGAAUGUAUCUUAUUUAUUGUUAUAUCUCCCAGGCUCACACAUCACUCAAUAAAGGUUUGUUGAAUGAAACAAUAAAUGGAUGCAAGACUAAAUGAACAAAGAAAAGCCACGGGGAAGAUAACAAUGUUAUGUCAUAAUUCAGGAUCAUCUUUUUCUGUUUUUUCCCCUCCAGCUUUAUUGAGGUAUAAUUGACAAAUAAAAAUUAUAUAUAUUCAAGGUGUCCAACAAGAUGUUUUGAUAUACAUAUACAUUGUGAAAUGAUUACCACAAUCAAACUAAUUAGCAUGUCCAUUACCUCACAUAAUUACCUUUUUUAUGUGUGCUGAGAAUACUUAAGAUUUGCUUUCUUAGCAAAUUUUAAGUAUACAAUACAUUAUGAUUAACUAUAGUCAUCAUACUUUACAGUAAGUCUCCAGAACUUACUUCAUCUGCAGGUUUGUACUCUGACCAACAUCAUCUUAUUUCACUCCCCACCCCACUUUCAGCACUGGUAACCACAUUUCUAUUCUAAGCCUUCUGGUGAAAUUUCUUUCUUAUUUCACUCCCAGUGAGUAACACAAGAGAAAAAUAAACAACAAAAGCCAGUCAAUAAUUAUAAAGUGAAUCUUACCAGUAUAGAGUUAUAAGCCUUGUUUUUACUUCACUGAUAAUGUUGUCGUGAACACUGUUUGAAUAAUGAAGACUAAAGGAAUGAUGGCAUGCACUGUGAGUUCUUGAUGUGGUUGAAGCAAAAUUCCCAACAAACAGACAUUUUGCUAUUUCAUUAGUGUUUAUGGCUGAU
rnacentral:lncRNA from 10 species